AAAUAUUAAAAAUAUACACACACUCUAAUAUACAUACUCUUUUAAUUAAACUCACUUUAUAUACUAAUAUUGAGUAAAAAUUAUUUGAAAUUACAAAAACUUGUGAUCUCACUCCAUAUUUAAUGAGUUUCCUUUAUGAUUUUAUUGUUUCUAAUAAGUGUCAGAAGUAAGAAAGAAAAAAAAAGUGUGGUGGUAAGUGAGAAAUUAAAAAAGAGUAAUAACACUAAAUUAAGUAUCAAUGGGAGAUUAAUCGGAACAUAGUGUUCUUAAAGUAUGUAACAGUUUCUCGUUGGAAGCACAGUAGCAGUCCUAUAUUACGAAAGGGAUGGUUAUACAGUUCCUGAAGGAGAGGAAGGGGUCAUUGCCAGCGCUGAUGUACAUGUAUGUUUUACAUAUAUAUGGUUUUGAUAUUUCACAGACUUUCGAUCAAAACUUUUGCUCUCCUAAUUUUUCAUCAAAUGUGAAGAUAUAUGCGAAUGCAGGACACGCGUGCUUACGUUACGUGGGCUAGAAUCUGCUGCCAGUUUAUCUAUCAGCUAAUUUGGCGAAGAGAGAAACUCGAUCGGCUAGCUGUCUUCAUGAACAUAUGUGAUUGAUUAAUAGCAAAUUAAUUGACUCAUAUAAUCAUAGGGCGCUAGCAAUGUGGCUUAGACCAUGAAUGGACCAAGCUUUCAGGAAAAAAGAUGAAAGAAACUGGCAAGAUUGCACGUGCAUUAGUCUGCAUCAUUUCAUAGCUAGUAAUAGAUGGUAGACAGUAGCGAUGAAGUGGGCAAUGUCUGUUCAGAAAUAUGUCGGGCUGGCUUUGGUCUCCUAUUCUCUUCAUAAUAAAUCACUAACUCACAAUUAGCAAAGAAGAUUAAUUAAUU
rnacentral:lncRNA from 1 species